GACGAACGCUGGCGGCGUGCCUAACACAUGCAAGUCGAACGGAACUGUUUUGAAAGAUUUCUUCGGAAUGAAUUUGAUUUAGUUUAGUGGCGGACGGGUGAGUAACGCGUGAGUAACCUGCCUUCAAGAGGGGAAUAACAUUCUGAAAAGAAUGCUAAUACCGCAUGACAUAUUGGAACCACAUGGUUUUGAUAUCAAAGAUUUUAUCGCUUGAAGAUGGACUCGCGUCCGAUUAGUUAGUUGGUGAGGUAACGGCUCACCAAGACCGCGAUCGGUAGCCGGACUGAGAGGUUGAACGGCCACAUUGGGACUGAGACACGGCCCAGACUCCUACGAGAGGUAGCAGUGGGGGAUAUUGCGCAAUGGGGGCAACCCUGACGCAGCAACGCCGCGUGAAGGAUGAAGGUUUUCGGAUUGUAAACUUCUUUUAUUAAGGACGAAAAAUGACGGUACUUAAUGAAUAAGCUCCGGCUAACUACGUG
rnacentral:rRNA from 1 species